rnacentral:snRNA from 1 species
UGUCCUCCAUAGGAGGUCUAUAUUGAGCAGAUUCAUUUUGGUAUUGGGUGGUGGAACCGGAGCGUGCUCCAUCCACUCCAUGCAUUGACCUGGUAUUGCAGUGCUUCCAGGACCGGUGC